AGAGUUUGAUCCUGGCUCAGGAUGAACGCUGGCGGCGUGCCUAAUACAUGCAAGUCGAGCGAACCACUUCGGUGGGAAGCGGCGAACGGGUGAGUAACACGUAGGUGAUCUGCCCAUCAGACGGGGACAACGAUUGGAAACGAUCGCUAAUACCGGAUAGGACGAAAGUUUAAAGAUGCUCCUGGCAUCACUGAUGGAUGAGCCUGCGGCGCAUUAGCUAGUUGGUGGGGUAAAGGCCUACCAAGGCGACGAUGCGUAGCCGACCUGAGAGGGUGAACGGCCACACUGGGACUGAGACACGGCCCAGACUCCUACGGGAGGCAGCAGUAGGGAAUCUUCGGCAAUGGGCGAAAGCCUGACCGAGCAACGCCGCGUGAAUGAAGAAGGCCUUCGGGCUGUAAAAUUCUGUUAUAAGGGAAGAAAGGUGAUAGGAGGAAAUGACUAUCAAUUGACGGUACCUUAUGAGAAAGCCACGGCUAACUACGUG
rnacentral:rRNA from 1 species